rnacentral:rRNA from 1 species
CGCUGGCGGUGGAUAGACUGCAGUCGGACGAGAUUUCCGUUGUACAAUACGAUGGAAAGUCUACGUGGCGAACGGGUGACGGGUGAGUAAUGCAUAGGAAUCUGCCCAUGUAGUGGGGGAUAACUUGGGGAAACUCAAGCUAAUACCGCAUAAUUCCUACGGGAGAAAGAGGGCCUAUACUUGUAAGCUCUUGCUAUUGGAUGAGCCUAUGUUGGAUUGAUUAGUUGGUGAGGUAAUGGCUUACCAAGACUACAAUCCGUAGCUGGUUUGAGAGGAUGAUCAGCCACACUGGGACUGAGACACGGCCCAGACUCCUACGGGAGGCAGCAGUAGGGAGUAUUGGACAAUGGGCGCAAGCCUGAUCCAGCAAUGCCGCGUGUGUGAAGAAGGCCUGCGGGUUGUAAAGCACUUUCAAUUGGGAAGAAAGAUUUAGAGUUAAUACCUCUUAAUAUUGACGUUACCAAUAGAAGAAGCACCGGCUAACUCUGUGCCAGCAGCCGCGGUAAUACGGAGGGUGCAAGCGUUAAUCGGAAUUACUGGGCGUAAAGCGCGCGUAGGUGGUUAGGUAAGUUGGAUGUGAAAGCCCCGGGCUUAACCUGGGAACUGCAUUCAAAACUGCCUAACUAGAGUACGAUAGAGGGGGGUAGAAUUUCAGGUGUAGCGGUGAAAUGCGUAGAGAUCUGAAGGAAUACCAGUGGCGAAGGCGGCUUCUUGGAUUGAUACUGACACUGAGGUACGAAAGCGUGGGGAGCAAACAGGAUUAGAUACCCUGGUAGUCCACGCCCUAAACGAUGAGAACUAGAUGUUGGAGGAAUUUAUAAUCCUUUAGUAUCGUAGCGAUAAGUUCUCCGCCUGGGGAGUACGGCCGCAAGGUUAAAACUCAAAUGAAUUGACGGGGGCCCGCACAAGCGGUGGAGCAUGUGGUUUAAUUCGAUGCAACGCGAAGAACCUUACCUGGCCUUGACAUCCUUGGAAUUUCGCAGAAACGUGAAAGUGCCUUCGGGAGCCAAGAGACAGGUGCUGCAUGGCUGUCGUCAGCUCGUGUCGUGAGAGUCGGGUUAAGUCCCAUAACGAGCGAAACCCUUGUCUUCAGUUGCCAGCGAGUAAUGUCGGGGACUCUGGAGAGACUGCCGGUGUUAAACCGGAGGAAGGUGGGGAUGACGUCAAGUCCUCAUGGCCUUUAUGCCCAGGGCUGCACACGUGCUACAAUGGCGUGAACAAAGGGACGCAAACCCGCGAGGUGGAGCAAAUCCCAAAAAACACGCCCCAGUUCAGAUCGGAGGCUGCAACUCGCCUCCGUGAAGGUGGAAUCGCUAGUAAUCGCAGGUCAGCAAUACUGCGGUGAAUAUGUUCCUGAGCCUUGUACUCA